GACGAACGCUGGCGGCGUGCUUAACACAUGCAAGUCGAACGGAAAGGCCCUGCUUUUGUGGGGUGCUCGAGUGGCGAACGGGUGAGUAACACGUGAGUAACCUGCCCUUGACUUUGGGAUAACUUCAGGAAACUGGGGCUAAUACCGGAUAGGAGCUCCUGCUGCAUGGGGGGGGUUGGAAAGUUUCGGCUGUUGGGGAUGGACUCGCGGGUUAUCAGCUUGUUGGUGGGGUAGUGGCUUACCAAGGCUUUGACGGGUAGCCGGCCUGAGAGGGUGACCGGCCACAUUGGGACUGAGAUACGGCGCAGACUCCUACGGGAGGCAGCAGUGGGGAAUAUUGCACAAUGGGCGGAAGCCUGAUGCAGCAACGCCGCGUGCGGGAUGACGGCCUUCGGGUUGUAAACCGCUUUCGCCUGUGACGAAGCGUGAGUGACGGUAAUGGGUAAAGAAGCACCGGCUAACUACGUG
rnacentral:rRNA from 1 species